rnacentral:tRNA from 1 species
GGGAUUAUAGCUCAAAGGAUUAGAGCAUGUGGUUGAAAACCACGGUGUCAAGGGUUUAAAUUCCUCCUUACCCA